AGACGUAGGGACCGAGCGUUGUCCGGAUUUAUUGGGCGUAAAGAGCUCGUAGGCGGUUGCGUAAGUCGGAUGUGAAAACUCGGGGCUCAACCCCGAGACGCCAUCCGAUACUGCGCUGACUUGAAUCCAGUAGGGGAGUGUGGAAUUCCUGGUGUAGCGGUGAAAUGCGCAGAUAUCAGGAGGAACACCUAUGGCGAAGGCAGCACUCUGGGCUGGUAUUGACGCUGAGGAGCGAAAGCAUGGGUAGCAAACAGGAUUAGAUACCCCAGUAGUCC
rnacentral:rRNA from 1 species